GACGAGGGAUGCAAGCGUUAUCCGGAUUCAUUGGGUUUAAAGGGCGCGUAGGUGGUCUACUAAGUCAGUGGUGAAAUCUCUCGGCUUAACUGAGAAAUUGCCAUUGAUACUGGUGGACUUGAGUGUAGUUGCCGUUGGCGGAAUAUGACAUGUAGUGGUGAAAUACAUAGAGAUGUCAUAGAACACCGAUUGCGAAGGCAGCUGACGAAACUAUAACUGACACUGAGGCUCGAAAGUGCGGGGAUCAAACAGG
rnacentral:rRNA from 1 species